ensembl:snoRNA small nucleolar RNA SNORA73 family
CCUCUCCCCGGGCUCUGUCCUAGUGGCUGGUAUGGAGUAUAGGGCACCUGCUGCCCACUGAUGUACGGCCCCUUUCCACAGUGCUGGAGCUGGAGCUGGGCUUGAGUCUGGGCCUGUAUAUUCCUACAACUUCUCAUAGUCCCAUAGGCAAUGACUGAAGAGACAAACCAUGCAGGAAACAGUC